UGGGUAGGGCCAUCUUCCUACCCAACAGAAACCAUCGUUCCUUCUCCAGAGUUCCAGCUUUGCCUCUAUUUUAGGGUUCCAUGCAAUCACUCCCAUAUUCAAUCGAAGUUGGGCACAUGAACUAGCUAAUCCAGCUCAAAAACUGCCAAUUAGUGACAGGGAAGACGCCAUUUCACAGAUUAGUGGAGGCCCCGGCAUUUUUUUGCGGAGUGUACGGGCGUGAGGAAGAAGGGGAAAGACGCGAUCAGAAGAACAGUGAAAGCUUGACUUUUUCAGGAGAGGUUCCCGGAGUUAGUGAGUUCUGCUCCGACAAGUACAUCCACCAUGGCUCCUAAGGGUGGGAAUAUCCUCGAGUGGACUGAUUAGAUGGAGUUGGCUUUCAUAAAUAUCAUCCUUGAGAAGUUGAAAAGAAGCCACACCACAUCUUGGAAGCAAAGGGAUUGGGAUGAGAUGACGGUGGAAAUGGGAAAGCAAUUUCCCGAUGAGCAACUGUGCUCCCAGAAGAUAAAGGACAAGUGUACGAGACUAAAGGGAAUGUACAAGCAAUUCACUAAACUAGUCAACCAUACUGGCAUCGGAUAAGAUACAGACACCAACACUAUCAAGGCGAGUCCCGAUGUAUGGGAUAUGUUUAUCAAGAAGAGCAGGGCGUUCAAGACAUUCCGAAGCAGAGGCUGCAAGGACUAUUGCCUGCUAAAUGAACUUUUUAGUUCUUCAACUAUUACAGGUGCUCUCCGCAUCCCCUCAACCGAUCUAUCGAGGACUUUAGAUGAAGAACGACAGCUGCAUUAAGAAUUCCUAUCAGCAUCCAAGAAAAAGCAAAAAUAGCCUGUCAACCUCGAAGAAGGCUCUGAUGAGAGUGACGAACCUAUUCAGGUUUAAGAGCCUAUUAUAUUUGAGUACUGACAUCGAGUGCGCAAAAGACCUUCAUCGACAAGCUCACAACUGCAGGAGUGCAUGGACUUAUUCAAGGUCAGUUUCAAAGAGAAGUCACAGAGCACCUCACCGUCGUCAAAGAGAAGCAAGUCCGUUUUAAGCCCUGAGAAGCCUGAGAGGAAUAGUUUCGAGGAAGCCAUGGUAGAGAUGGAUAAAUUGAAACCGACAAUCCCUCAUCGCUUGUAUAUAGCUAGCAGCUUAGCUCUCCUUGAUGAGAAAAUGAGGAGGCUUUUCAUGUACUACACGGAGGAUAGCCGAAGGGAAUGGCUACAGCAUCUUGCAGACUCUUGAAUCAGCUCAGGAUCUGGCUUUAUGUUUAGUUGAACUUUUUCGAUAAUCUCAUUUCUUUUUCUUUGUUAUGACAUUACUCGUAUUGCUAUGUUUGUUAUGUGUUUUUGGAUAUGUUAACUUGAUUAUGUUUUACAUGUGCUUGGAAUGUUUAUUUUGUAUGGUUAUGAAUUAUUGUAUUUUACCGUUAACGAUAUGUUCAUGAACUUCCUUCCACUGUUAUAG